rnacentral:rRNA from 1 species
CUUGCCAGUGAAGCCUUCGGCUCAACCGAAGAAGUGCAUUGGAAACUGGGAGACUUGCCCUGAGAAGAGGACAGUGGAACUCCAUGUGUAGCGGUGAAAUGCGUAGAUAUAUGGAAGAACACCAGUGGCGAAGGCGGCUGUCUGGUCUGCAACUGACGCUGAGGCUCGAAAGCAUGGGUAGCGAACAGGAUUAGAUACCCUGGUAGUCCAUGCCGUAAACGAUGAUUACUAAGUGUUGGAGGGUUUCCGCCCUUCAGUGCUGCAGCUAACGCAUUAAGUAAUCCGCCUGGGGAGUACGACCGCAAGGUUGAAACUCAAAAGAAUUGACGGGGGCCCGCACAAGCGGUGGAGCAUGUGGUUUAAUUCGAAGCUACGCGAAGAACCUUACCAGGUCUUGACAUCUUCUGACAGUCUAAGAGAUUAAGGUUCCCUUCGGGGACAGAAUGACAGGUGGGCAUGGUGUCGUCCUCUGUCUGAAUGUUGGUUAAUCCCCCAGGCACCCUUAUUACUAUUGCCUUAUUCUCUACUCCCAAAACCCUUU